GAUGAACGCUGGCGGCGUGCCUAAUACAUGCAAGUCGAGCGGACAGACGAGGAGCUUGCUGCUCUGACGUUAGCGGCGGACGGGUGAGUAACACGUGGAUAACCUACCUAUAUGACUGGGAUAACUUCGGGAAACCGGAGCUAAUACCGGAUAAUAUAUUGAACCGCAGGGUUCAAUAGUGAAAGACGGUUUUGCUGUCACGAAUAGAGGGAUCUGCGCCGCAUUAGCUAGUUGGUAAGGUAACGGCUUACCAAGGCAACGAGGCGUAGCCGACCGGAGAGGGGGAUCGGCCGCCCUGGAGGGUGGCCACGGUCCAGGGUCCUGCGGGAGGCACCAGUAGGCAACCUUCCGCAAAGGUCGAAAGCCUGACGGAGUAACGCCGCGUGUGUUAUGGAGGUCUUCGGUUCGUAAAGCUCUCUUAUUAGUGAAGAACCAAUGUGUAAGUAACCAUGCACGUAUUGACGGUACCUAAUCAGAAAGCCCCGGCUAACUACGUG
rnacentral:rRNA from 1 species